GCAAGAUAUUCCUACGGAUCUAUUUCUUGCAGUCAAAAAAUGAAGUUUCCACGAUGUGCUUUGAGUUUUAUCCUAGCUAUGGCAAUAGCUGCACUGACCAUCCGUUCAGGCUGUGCCUGGUAAAGAUACAGAACCUAUUGUUGAUCUACCACCAGUAGCUGAAGUGUAGAGAAUGAGAUGAUGGACUGGAACGAAUUCUAAUUCCUCUAUAAAUUUUGAAUAUGAAAAAAUACAGGAACGUUCGUUUUCUACGUAUAUAAAAGUUUUACAGAAACUGAUGAAUUAACUAUGCUUUGGAAAUCCUUCAUUACUGUUUUCUUUGGCAAAAUUUAUUUGUAUUUUUCUGUUUGAAAUGUGCUUCAAAGAUAUGCAGAAAUGAAACAUUGUGAAAAUUAUGUAUGAAAA